rnacentral:rRNA from 1 species
GAUGAACGCUGGCGGCGUGCCUAACACAUGCAAGUCGAGCGAUUUACUUCGGUAAAGAGCGGCGGACGGGUGAGUAACGCGUGGGUAACCUGCCCUGUACACACGGAUAACAUACCGAAAGGUAUGCUAAUACGAGAUAAUAUACUUUUAUCGCAUGGUAGAAGUAUCAAAGCUCUGGCGGUAUAGGAUGGACCCGCGUCUGAGUAGCUAGGUGGUAAGGUAACGGCUUACCAAGGCGACGAUCAGUAGCCGACCUGAGAGGGUGAUCGGCCACAUUGGAACUGAGACACGGUCCAAACUCCUACGGGAGGCAGCAGUGGGGAAUAUUGCACAAUGGGCGAAAGCCUGAUGCAGCAACGCCGCGUGAGCGAUGAAGGCCUUCGGGUCGUAAAGCUCUGUCCUCAAGGAAGAUAAUGACGGUACUUGGGGAGGAAGCCCCGGCUAACUACGUGCCAGCAGCCGCAGUAA